rnacentral:rRNA from 1 species
GACGAACGCUGGCGGCGUGCUUAACACAUGCGAGUCGAACGGAAAGGCCCUGCUUUUGUGGGGUGCUCGAGUGGCGAACGGGUGAGUAACACGUGAGUAACCUGCCCUUGACUUUGGGAUAACUUCAGGAAACUGGGGCUAAUACCGGAUAGGAGCUCCUGCUGCAUGGUGGGGGUUGGAAAGUUUCGGCGGUUGGGGAUGGACUCGCGGCUUAUCAGCUUGUUGGUGGGGUAGUGGCUUACCAAGGCUUUGACGGGUAGCCGGCCUGAGAGGGUGACCGGCCACAUUGGGACUGAGAUACGGCCCAGACUCCUACGGGAGGCAGCAGUGGGGAAUAUUGCACAAUGGGCGGAAGCCUGAUGCAGCAACGCCGCGUGCGGGAUGACGGCCUUCGGGUUGUAAACCGCUUUCGCCUGUGACGAAGCGUGAGUGACGGUAAUGGGUAAAGAAGCACCGGCUAACUACAUG